AGCAGCCGCGGUAAUUCCAGCUCCAAUAGCGUAUAUUAAAGUUGUUGCAGUUAAAAAGCUCGUAGUUGAAUUUCGGGAUCGAAUUGCUGGUCGUGCUUCGGUACGCACUGGCAUUAUCGGUUUCUACCUUCUGAAGAACCGCGAUGUCAUUAAUUUGGUGUCGUGGGGAAUCAGGACUGUUACUUUGAAAAAAUUAGAGUGUUUAAAGCAGGCUUACGCUUGAAUACAUUAGCAUGGAAUAAUGAAAUAGGACGUUUGAUUCUAUUUUGUUGGUUUCUAGGAUCGACGUAAUGAUUAAUAGGGAUAGUUGGGGGCAUUAGUAUUCAAUUGUCAGAGGUGAAAUUCUUGGAUUUAUUGAAGACUAACUACUGCGAAAGCAUUUGCCAAGGAUGUUUUCAUUAAUCAAGAACGAAAGUUAGGGGAUCGAAGACGAUCAGAUACCGUCGUAGCCUUAACCAUAAACUAUGCCGACUAGGGAUCGGAUGAUGUUAAUUUUAUAAUGACUC
rnacentral:rRNA from 1 species